rnacentral:lncRNA from 1 species
GAACUUUGCUCGCCAGAUGGCGACAGCGCGGAACCCGGAAAGGCCGCCACCGGCGUCGGGCGACGGAAGACCCGCCCGUGCCGGACGAACUUGCAGCGGGAAAGGAAAGGGACAGAGAGACUUCCUCGAGGUUUAUUUAUCUCGAAAUACUGACUGGUGAAUGAAGAUAAGGUGGAGUUAAUCGGUGCCAUCCUGCUGAAGUUUCUGUCCAAACGUUUUGUGAUCACGCGACUUAAAGCCGCCAUUAUUCUUCCAAACAACGUGCUAGAGAGAUUGGAACGAAUGUGGUGGAUAAAUUUUAUCGUCUACGCGUUGAUUGUCGGCAAACGAAUUAAAAUUAAUAAAGUUUUUAGAGUGUGACUACGUGUGCCGCUUUCGGCUGCACAAAUCUCAGCUAGAAAAGAGUUUUGAUAAAACUUUUUCCGAAAGAUCCCGCACGUCGUAAACGUUGGCAAACAAAAGCAAACGAGAAGGCUGGAAAGCAACCGACAGCAACUAUUUAUGCGAAAUAAGUUCAAUUUCCCGAUGAUCAACGAGAAAAAACUAAAGUCGAUCGAACUAGAAAAUUGAAGCACGAUGAUCUCCUUUUCAUAUAUCCUUAAGCGUUACCUAAAAAAAUCUACAAGGGCUCUCCACCGAUUUAAAAAAAAAAAAAACUUCCUUCAAAAACCUGUAAAAUUUCGAAUGACGCAAAUUCCGUCGAACAGGCAUUAAGUUUCGAACGAGUAACAGAACUCUGGAGAAUGUUCAUUCGAAGAAUAAACAAAACUGUAAGCGUAUCUUCAUUGAAAUUAUAAAUUGUGAUUUUGAAAUUCAGAAAAUUCAUUUUAAAGAAUGUCACAACAUUAAAAGAAACAUUAGAUAUUGUUUUAUAACAUUUCGACUUAACCUUUUUGAUUUAAAAAAAUAAGAAAACAAAUGUAAAGUUCAGUUUUAAAAUGCUCUUUCGAGUAAAGGGCAAACAAUGCUCAUAUUAUAUAAAAGUGUUAAUUACUAUUUUUUCAAA